CUGCAAAUAUUUUGGGCCGGCGCCGGAGAAGCCGGCGAGCCCGCGCAGCCGCCGGCGACCUUCGCUCGCGCCGCCGCGAUAAAUACCACGCUAGCCUCCGAGAUCCCACCUGCCGCUCCGCUGCCUCCAGCUCCCCUCGCGCUCCCCUCAUGGUCCUACCUACCUCCUCCACGCGGUUCGGCCGCAGCGGCGGCAGCUAGGCGACUGGGCCUUCCGCCGUUCCCUGCAGUUCACCAUGAUCGCCGUUGCCCGUUGCUACUGACUGAUGAGAUGCCCCGUCCUGACACCAGGGCGGUGAAACUGAAAUCCAUUUCGGGGGCGCCAACGGACGCUCGGUCGCCGCUUGUUGCUCGUCAGCUCCUAAUUCCAAUCCAGCAAGCGUCCUGAGAAAUGGAAAUCCCCUUCUCCUUCCGUGACGCUGCCGAAUCCAAACAGAGGCAUUCUUUGUUUAACCUUCGUUCACUUCAGCCCACACCGAUUGUCAUCGAGACCAGCAUGUCCUCACAUGCUGACGGAGCAGGCAGCGCCGGAGGCCCGGAAGGAAGGGUGAGUCCGCGCUUCAGCUCCGAUGCGUCGUCAUUCACGCCGAUCGAGCUGCUUCACGGGUUCACUCAGCGCAGCCAAGGGAGAACCUUGGCGCUGGUCCGAAAUCACUGUCCCUCUCAUCAAGGGAGCGAAAUGGUAGCACUUAAAGUCGUGCAUGCUGGGGUGACAUUCGCCUCACACUAGGUCGCACUACUUGGUGGUUGUGGUCUUGUGGAAGAUGCGUCAAUAGAACAAGCAAAGGAGGGCAAGUACCUUCAAUGAUUUGGUUGGCAAGGGUAAGUUCAGCACUGUGGUAGCAAAGCAGUAACCACUGCCAGGUCUGUUUUUAAGCAUCUCUUGAGUUCAUUAAUACGGCUCAUUACAUUAUUAUUGUCUCUCUCUUCCUUUUUUGUCAAAGCGAAUCAACUGCUAAAACACUUUAAAACUUGACUUUUGCAAAGCAGGUACCUUCCAUUGUUACAGUUAGGGAAUACCUUAUAUGAAGUUUUAUCUAUUCUUACCUUGUGUUGAUAUGUGCUUUCUAAAUCUGAGGCAGAGAUUUGAUUUGUGCUGGUAAGCUGGUAACGUUUCAACCAAAAGGAGAACAUAAUUAAUAGGUUUCUGAAUUCUGAGUAAUGCAUAGUACAUUAUUGUACAAGUGUGGCCCAAUUUGUUGAGGCCCAUGCUUAAGAAAGCUGCCUCUCCUUUUCCAUUAGAAAACUGAAGGGAAUUAUCAGUAAAGAUAAGGCUCAAUCAUAGUUUAAUGCUGCAAAUGGUACCUGCUGCAUGAGAAUCAAACUAUAAAACUGGGGUGGCCCAAAUCCCUCCACCUACAUUAGGGAAUCUGAUCUCACUAUCCUGACAACUAUAAAUAAAUGGUUCAAUAAGGACAAAAACCUAUGAUAUGCCGACAAUCUUUUGUGCUUGCCAUUCUUUUAUCACCACUUGUUGAUUUAUCUAUUCCCUGGAGUAGAUUCUUGCUCUUUCUAUCUGUUGCAAUGCCCUCUUUGUUUCCUUGAUCCAAGUGUUUAUCCUCUUGCUAAUUUUGGCAAAAAAAUGCCUGUCCCAAUACUUAAACUAAUGGAGUUAUAGAAAAGAUAUACUUAGACUAAUGAUUGUAUCAUUUGUUGGGCAUAGCUAGCACGAAAGACUUCUGGACUUCUCAAUGCUAUAAACAAACACUGUGUGAGACAAUGUGCCUCCAUUGUACCACUCAAGUACAAAAUCAUCCAUCUGAUGGUUCCACUUCCACUAUGGUAUUAUGUUCCCUUUUGUCCCCUCUUUUUCCUGUUGUAGCGUUCUUUCAAAUGUUAUCCACCAAACAUGCGAUUGACCGACCAGUUUUAGACUGUAUAUGCAAAAUGCUUCUGGAAAUGUCCUGAAAAAGGAAGACAUUUUCAAACAUGCUUUUCUGUUGAGUUAAUCGUCUGUUAUUCUCUUGAUAAACAAUCAAACUGUAGUAUUAUGACACUUGCACAGCAAUGAUUAGACCAAAAGCGAAAGCUGUAACUAGAUGAGUCUCCAUCAGGUCAUACUUAUGCCAGAUGUAGUCAUUAACCCCUUUAAAGCUAACAUUAUAGAAAUGCUUAAUACAACUUAUUUUAUAGUAAUGCUUUGCUUACUAUAAACAAGAGUGCUGAUCUCAUUGCCAUUCUGACAUCAUGGUUUAUUAAUAGUAGUACUCCAUUUGUCAGUAGUUUACGGCAUGUACACAUCUCUAGGCUUUCUUGGAACUUUAAGAUUGGCAUUAUAAAACUACUCUUGUCAAAUGGUUGAAUGAUGAGUAUGAUGGAUAUUUGAAAGUGAGAGGUUUCUGCUUUUGUUUGUCUUAGCUCCUGACCCUGCUUUUCGCAGUCUUGGUGGGAACUUCAAAAGUAGCCAUGUUUCAAGUUCCAACUUCAAGUUCUAUCCUCUCAAAGAAAGAGGGGAAUCUUCCAAGUUCCAAAAACCAUUGGGCUUUGCUAAUGCACAGAACUCAUCCAGGCUGUUUAAAAUUUUCCAGGGACUUCACAACCAGUUGCCUUACAUUCAAUUGCAACAAUCAGAUGAGACAUGAGUUAAACCAGACAAAAAGAUGGGUUUUUCAGUUGCAUCACUCCAAAGGCAAAAAGGUGAGGUUGAUUUGAGAUGAUAGAUGCUGAAUGGCUGAUUGGUUUGCAGAGAUAAGUCACGUUUAUAUAGGUUGGGUUUGAAAUUUUCAUCCAGUCAACAAUGGAAGUUCCACUGAAGCUAGGAUUAGAGCACUGGAGCAGGUGAUGGGGAUUGAACACUCAUCAGGUUUUAUUUUGGGUACUGGAUUUUAUUUUCACCGUCACGGGCGGUGGAGUAGCGUCAGAUAAGCUUCCGGUUUUCACUUUCAUGCAUUAAUUUUCGGGAUGCGAAGGCCCAUUGCGAUUUGACCUCUUGAGAGGAAUAAAGGUGAAAAGAUGACAAUGAAGGUCUCAACUUCGAAGUCACUGUCCAUCAGAGCUGCUUUUUGAUAAAAUAUGAAGUGGGGAAUUUCUCAGUAACAAUCCACGUGAUGUUACCCUGAGCAGAAAAUUCAGAUCAGCAUUAGAAACCACAGAUUUCAAAUAUUUGCUGGACCCAAUUGCGAUAUCCAGGAGGCAGUUGGUGCUUCCAAGGAGGCAGUUUGUGGUCCUGGUGAAAACCGUUUGUGGUCCUGGCUCACCAACAGUCCUACUCUAUUUCAGCACAGAUGAUCCCCAGGACAGCCAUCUUUUUAUCUUUGGAUGCCAUCAAUCAUCUAAACUUGCCACAUCUGGAUACUUUUGCUGGCUCUGAGGUCUUCAGCUCACUGGCCAACCACAAGUCCACAAAACUGUUUUAGCCCCUCCUUGGCUCCAGGCAGCACAGCUUUGAAUGUGUGGUGGCAUUUGGAACUUGGAAGGGAAAGCAAUAGCUUAGCUCUGCAAUGGGAACAGUACCUCAUGUACUAUUCCCAGCUUUAGUAGCGUUAGGUAUUGAAUAAUCAGGUUGAUUCGCUUUAUUUUAUAGUACUCCUAUAAUGAAUAUUCUCU